UUUCCGUAGGUGAACCUGCGGAAGGAUCAUUACCGAGUUUUGAAUGAAGUUGUUCUGGUCUUUCGGGGCAAGUGAACGCUUCUCUCAAUCCAUCUUACGCCUGUGCACCUAUCGGGGAAGACUUGGAUCUAAGUUGGGUCACGACGGCGAUCUACAGUCUCCUCUUUAUACCAAAUAACAGUUUUAGAAGGUCUUUUUUGCUUGAUGCAAACUUAAAUAAAUACAACUUUCAGCAACGGAUCUCUUGGCUCUC
rnacentral:misc_RNA from 1 species